GCGGGGGAGGCUCAGGGGUCCCGGCGAGUGAACCUUUCUUCUCCGGAGCGGUGACAGCCCCGAGGGUCUCUUUGCGGUCCUCGUCUUCCCAAUGUACAGCACACUUGGCGCUGGUUAAUUAUUUGUUGACAUAGUGCGACGUCAAGGACAUUAAAACAACACCGUGAUGCCCAACGCAAUUGCUAAGUUCGUUUUUGCGGACUGAGCAUUUGAAAGUCUUUUAUUUCAGCACCAGCCGCCUUCCAAGUUUUAAGAGAAAAUGUAAUCCAUCGUAGUUGCCGAGGAUCUACUCUGUGCCAUGGCUUGGGAUAUGUGAUUUGAAUUACAUGGGCACUUGAGGCCUCAGGAUGAGUACAAUGGGAGAUCUGACCAAAGUUGUGCAUCCAUGCCUGGAUAUACAUGACCUCCAUAGAUAACUAUCUGAGCAACGCAGUUAAUAAACCAGACCUGGAAGAUUACCAUCUUGGAUCAACCCAGAGGCUAAGAAUGCAGAACUGACUCUU